GCCCCCGUAGCUCAGUGGAUAGAGCGCCCGCCUUCUAAGCGGUUGGCCGCAGGUUCGAGUCCUGCCGGGGGCA
rnacentral:tRNA from 1 species